rnacentral:rRNA from 1 species
UGUCCUACGGGACGCAGCAGUGGGGAAUAUUGCACAAUGGGGGAAACCCUGAUGCAGCGACGCCGCGUGAGUGAAGAAGUAUUUCGGUAUGUAAAGCUCUAUCAGCAGGGAAGAAAAUGACGGUACCUGACUAAGAAGCCCCGGCUAACUACGUGCCAGCAGCCGCGGUAAUACGUAGGGGGCAAGCGUUAUCCGGAUUCACUGGGCGUAAAGGGAGCGCAGGCGGCACGGCAAGUCUGAUGUGAAAACCCGGGGCUCAACCCCGGGACUGCAUUGGAAAAUGCCGGGCUGGAGUGUCGGAGGGG